ensembl:ncRNA lncRNA:CR43130 long non-coding RNA:CR43130
GAAAAGGGGAAAUAAGACAUGCAACUCUGGGUUCGAGACACGGGUGAAUCAGUGGAUACUCAAGCCGGAAAAGCUGGAGGCCUGUUCAGACAUGCGGCGACCGCGUCAAUGUUGUGGAUUCGGGACUUGCACGUGAAACAAAUGUUCAAUAUUGGUAAAACAAAUUAAAUCUACCUGUUUUUGAUUACUACCUACCUACUAGAGUUGUUACAUCUGCCGUUAUAAGAAAACAAAGUACGCGGCAAUUUGAAAUUGAAUAUAAUACGACAGCUGGCAUUUUGGAAU